rnacentral:lncRNA from 1 species
UUUUAUUUAAAAAAAUUCAAUUUUUCUUUUUUCCAUGAUGUUGAACCUGAGGAAAUUAAGUACCUUUCACGGGAAUGUUGUGUGGGAUGUGUGAAGAAACCGCAAUAAAAUUUAUUCACAAUAUACAAGUAUAAAAAUAUGUUGCUUCGGUAUUAUAAUUUAAUAACUUUUUGUUGUUUCAUAGGUAUCUGGGAAAGGUACAGACAUAUGUCCUGAUCCUGUCACAAGAGGUAGAAGGCCGGCAUUUGGUACAACAUUCCAGGAGAGCGUCAAAGUGACAUUCCUGUUUCCCUUGAGACCAUUUCCAUCAUCAAAGAAAAAGUACUUUGACUUCAUGUCUUUUAAGAACAGCCUUGGAUUAUCUCCUCUCAAAAUGAUCUUGUCCCAAAGAACCACUUGGUUCAGAGCAUUGUUUUUUGUUGAAUAUUCUGCAGACAAAUAUAGAAACAAUUGUUUAACAUUCCAGUCAAAUAUACUCUGCAGAUCUGCAGUAAUGUCAAACGUGACGAACGCCAGAUCACUUCUUUCUCUAGGUCCAG